rnacentral:rRNA from 1 species
CCUACGGGAGGCAGCAGUGAGGAAUAUUGGUCAAUGGGCGAGAGCCUGAACCAGCCAAGUCGCGUGAAGGAUGAAGGAUCUAUGGUUUGUAAACUUCUUUUAUAUGGGAAUAAAGUGAGGAACGUGUUCCUUUUUGUAUGUACCAUAUGAAUAAGCAUAGGCUAACUCCGUGCCAGCAGCCGCGGUAAUACGGAGGAUGCGAGCGUUAUCCGGAUUUAUUGGGUUUAAAGGGUGCGUAGGUGGUUAAUUAAGUCAGCGGUGAAAGUUUGUGGCUCAACCAUAAAAUUGCCGUUGAAACUGGUUGUCUUGAGUAUAUUAGAGGUAGGCGGAAUGCGUGGUGUAGCGGUGAAAUGCAUAGAUAUCACGCAGAACUCCGAUUGCGAAGGCAGCUUACUAAACUAUAACUGACACUGAAGCACGAAAGCGUGGGGAUCAAACAGGAUUAGAUACCCGGGUAGUC